rnacentral:lncRNA from 1 species
GGUUUUUUUGUUUUCUCAAUAAAUGACUUUCCUAUCUAAUUUAUCUUACAGUCUGAAAUGUUAUUUUCUGAUUCCAGCUAUAAUUCACUACCAUCAAAGCCUUCCAAGAUAAAACCAAUGGGCUUUCAUAGCUACUGUAUGUAAGCUGGAGCUCCUCUAAUACAAACACUGUAUGAUGACCUGAUUAAAAUUUCUGUGACUUGAGAAGUAAAGCUUUGUUAAAUAAAUUUCCCAGGAAGUUAACUAAAAAUGUCCUCCCUUUUCUUCUAUUUGUCUUUCCUUCCCAAAAGAAAACCUGACAAAUAUCUACAUCUUGGAAAUUAAAACAAGAGAACUGACCCUUAAAUUAGUAAGGAAGAAAAACUGAAGAAAAGCAAAAAAAAAUAUUGGUGACUAUGUAAACUAUUCUCAGCAGAUCUUUAAGGUUAGUUUGAACCCAAACCAUUCUGCAAUUCUAUGAUUCUAUGUUUUUAUCAUUUCUUUAUUUGUUUUUUUUGUUUCUUAAACUUUUAGUAUAAUACCUUCGAAUAAUGUAGUAGGAGAGUGGGAGUGGGUGCAAUGUUCACAAAAAAUCUGUCAUAGCUCCAGGAGCUAAGGCACAUCAUAAAAUCAGGUACCAUUUUAUGUUACCUUCAGCCACAAUUAAAAAAAAUAGGAACACUAAGUGCCUAUUUAUCCAUGCCUAUAACAUGACACGAGUGCAUUGUGUAAGACCUAGCAACACAAUCAUUUAAUUUCUGUUUUAAAAUCUAUUUUAGUGCUUUUCCAAUACAUUUUGAUGAGAAAAGAUGUAGAACAUGGACUCCUGUCAUUCGGUGGGCUCAGGGUUAUGCUGCUCUGGAAAUUCUUGUUUUAGUUUGAAGAACUGGCACAGAUUAUUAACCGUAUACAAUCAGCAACACUUUUUUUUUUUUUUUCAGAAGAAAACAAGACACAGAAAUAUUUUUUUCUUGAAUACUAUACGUACCAUUGAGUCUCUACAACUACACUGUUAUAGCAGAAUGAGGAAUCAGGCCAAGAAAGUCUGAGAUAAAGAUCUUUGACUAUAUUGCAUGCUACAGACAUUAUUCUUAUUUAUGGAAGUGCUUAUCUUCACAGGACAUUGGCUGGAAUAACAAAAACAGAAAAACUGCUUCUUCAAAGACCAUUUCUAAGCCAUUCUAUUUUAGAAGCAUACCAACUCUUAAAGGAUGUAGUGUCUUUUGUUUCAGAAUGACAUCUGCUUUAAAAUAUUAUGGUAUCACAGAAUGAAUAUGGGGAAUAAGUUGGUAGAAGACCCAAAUAAGGGUUAGAUUCUGCAGCCAGUUAUUCAUAAUACUUUAACUCUGUGUUUUUGUUGUUGUUGUUGUUGUUGUUUGUUUGUUUGUUUGUUUGUUUUUUGAGGAAGUGUUAGAGUAAUGGAUUAAGACUGGGUUCUAGUGACCUUGUGACCUUUCCUCAUAUAAAAUAUUUGAUGUGACCACAGAAGUGAUAGACUACAAUACUGUGUGAUUUUUUUUUUUCCCCAAGAAAGUAGCAAAGAUCAAAAUCAAAAUGUUGUGAAUAUUGCUUUAUUGUUAGUUUCUUGGAUGGAUUUCAGGGUCUUUCACCAUUAUUUACCAUCUUUCUCAAUUUUGUCUGUCUUUGGCUAGUUACAUCACAACUAAUGCUGAAGAUAAUUUCACUGCAAGCAUAGACGAAGGCAUGCCAUAUUCAAUAUUUAACCCAGAGUACAAUAAUAAAUAUUCUUUAUUCUCAUCA